UAUCUAUCUAUCUCCGUCUAUCAAUCUGUCUAUCUCCGUCUAUCUAUCUAUCAAUCUGUCUAUCUCCGUCUAUCUAUCUAUCUCUGUCUAUCUAUAUAUCUAUCUAUCGAUCUAUCUCCGUCUCUCUAUCUAUCUAAUUACAAUAACAAUAAUGCAUAAACAAGCUUCAAGGCUAUGCUACGACUCUUUCAGUACAUAAUAUACUGUGGUAACCUUAAGUAGAUAAAGAUGUUCAGACUUUAAGAUGCCAUCUUGACUUUAGUCAGGGAAAUUUCCAUGACGUGUACACCCAUUAGUUUUGGCCAAGUUAAGGGAGGUCCUAAAAUGAAUAAAAGUAAAAGAAGUUACUUUUUCAUAUAUGAACUACGGUGACCCUAAAAUGAAGACACCUAAGGUAUAAAUAGGUGUACUUUUAAAUGUAAAGACACAGACAGAGGAGAGACAUGGAGACAGACGCCGCUCCAUCUAAAAAUGACAGAGAGGCUGACAUAAUGACAUGUUCAGAAGGGUAUGUUAAUCUAUUAUUGAUAUUUGCGAGCAUUUAGUUUAAUCUUAUAAACUCUGCUAUAA